GAUAGUCAGCACACCUUCGUUUCAUUUUCUCCAUUUUAACUUAAAGUUCAAACGUUUCUACACAUUUUCUCCUCACUUUUCCUCUUCAAUCACUUCAAAACAUUACUUAAAUUUAAAAACUUCACAAUAAGUCACGCCAACUAAAGGUUCAACACGCCAUGGAUGCGUCUGGAGAAUCGAUGGUCUAAACAGCAAUCCUGCAACGAAUAAAUGGCUAGAUGUCACUUCUAUGGCAUCAACAAUUGCGUCUGAGUCUGAGAAUCAGAUUGAAGCAUCAAAUGUUGCUGGUCCUGAGCCUAGCAAAGUUACAGAAGAUGAACAUAAUGCUGACCCUAAUCCUGAAAGUGAAACAAGUGGUUCUGGGCUAGCACAGUCACAGAAGGGUACUGUAGUGGAUCCUAGUAUUGAAACCCACAACAAGGCAACAACAGAUUUGGUACUCAACUAAUUACCAACUGGAUUAGAGAGAUCAACGAAUGAAUCAGGGCCUCCAAUAGAAGGGAAUGUUGGAGACAGUGAGUCUAAGGUAACUGAUCAGGGUGAAGAUGCUGAUGUGAGAGAGGAAUCAAAGGUAUCUUCACCUCCAACAGAAGAGAAUGUUGUUGACCGUGAGUCUAAGGGAACUAAUCACGGUGAAGAUGCUGUUGUGAGAG